rnacentral:lncRNA from 1 species
AUGCCCGGGCGCAUCCUCCCCAGACCCGAAAAGCGCCCUCCCCCCCAGCUGGGAGCGCUCCCCUCCAGCCCUGGGAAGCAGGGCGCCCCCACGUGCUUGGACGUUAUCCCGCCCACCCGGCUCCCCAAGCCCGGAGUGCUCCCCCUAGUGCUGGCAGUGGGAGCUCUGCCCUCCCGCCUCCCACCCCACAGAUGCAGGGCUGCCAGCCUGCCCCCGCCCCCCCCACCCACACAUGCAGGGCUGCCAGCCUGCCCCCGCCACCCCCUCCCCCCACAGCCAGCACCCCAGCGAGCCAGAGCGCACCGCUGCCCAGAGCAUGGCCGCCCACCACUCCCGCACGCAUGGCCGGCCUCGCCCACGCCUCCCACCCCAGGCGGACUCCGCUGGCGCCCCCACCCCAGCCGGCAGCCCCCCCGUGCCGGGCGCCCUCCUGUCCAGCCGCAGCCCCGGGAGCGCUCGCUUCCCAUGCCCCCCCUAGAGUCACUAGCCCCCGCCCCCGCCCCCGCCUCCCCCCCUCCUGAGGCCCCUGGGAGCCCUGCCCUCAGCCCAAACCCCAGCUGGCUGCCCCCCACCCUCACCGGCUCCCGCUCGCUCACCCUCCCCUCGGACCCCCUCCCCCGCGAGCCCCCCGCCGACGUGGCUCACCUGCGCCGGCCCCGCGGGCGGCUCCCGGUCCCCUGGAAGGCCUGGCGGGCUCGCCUCAGGGCGGCUGUGUGGCCCCGGCUCACGCACUCUGCGCUCGGCCACGCCAGCUCCCGCGCCUCCCAGAAGCCCCCGGGCGCAGGAGAGAAAGUUCUAGGUGGCUCAGGGCAGGGCGACGAUUGGCUGCGAGGAGCACGUGAGCGACGCCGCGCGGCGAGGGCUUCACGGCGCUGUCGCAAGGCUCGCAGCCGCGGCAGCACAGCGCGGCUUCCGCCCCUGCCACCGCUGCACAGCGCGGCUUCCGCCCCUGCCGCCCGUGAAGCCGAGAGUCGGCCCGCCCGCAGAGCCCGCUGGGGCCCGUGGGGCCCACUGCCCGGUCGUCUGUGCCCUGCUGUGCUUGGUAGCGGCACGCAGACGGUCUACGUCCCUACUGACUUCUCCUCUCGGUGUCCCCAUCCCGGGCGGGAGGGGUGA